CCUACGGGAGGCAGCAGUGGGGAAUAUUGGGCAAUGGAGGAAACUCUGACCCAGCGACGCCGCGUGCGGGAUGAAGGCCUUCGGGUUGUAAACCGCUUUCAGUAGGGAAGAAGCGAAAGUGACGGUACCUACAGAAGAAGCACCGGCUAACUAUGUGCCAGCAGCCGCGGUAAUACAUAGGGUGCAAGCGUUGUCCGGAAUUAUUGGGCGUAAAGAGCUCGUAGGUGGUUCGUCACGUCGGAUGUGAAAAUCUGGGGCUCAACCCCAGACCUGCAUUCGAUACGGGCGAUCUAGAGUGUGGUAGGGGAGACUGGAAUUCCUGGUGUAGCGGUGGAAUGCGCAGAUAUCAGGAGGAACACCAAUGGCGAAGGCAGGUCUCUGGGCCAUUACUGACACUGAGGAGCGAAAGCGUGGGGAGCGAACAGGAUUAGAUACCCUGGUAGUCCACGCCGUAAACGGUGGGCACUAGUUGUGGGAACCUUCCACGGUUUCUGCGACGCNGCUACGCAUAGUAGCCCGCCGUCGGGAGGUACGAGUCGCGAGAAGUUAAACGUAACGUAAAGGUAAGUUAGUUACGGCGUGAGACGUGCCGACGGCGACGACGAGGGAGGAGG
rnacentral:rRNA from 1 species